rnacentral:lncRNA from 1 species
GGGUUUAUGAAAGGAUUGUGAAUGCGGAUAAACUAAAUUAAAACACGGAUGCAACAAAAACGUAAAAACGGAAUUGCAAACACAGAUGUAAAAAUGGAAUCAAAUGCAAAAUGAAAAUGGUUGGUCAUUAACUCAAUUACUAUGCUUCCUAUCCUAGAUUAACGACAAGUACACACUACUCUAAUCCAAAUCCAACACGAAUCACCCAACUAAGCGAAGGCUAAUUCGGUCUUCAAAAAUGCAAACUAAGCGAAUGCAAUGCUCAAUUCCAAUCAAUCAUCCACC